AGGUGGCACAGAAUCGGAGGCCCCGACUGUUUACUAAAAACACAACACAGUGCAAUCAUAAAUAUGGUAGUAUACUGUNNGAAAUUUGCCCGAUGCCAUUAAUAUAAGAAAAGUUAUGGUUUUGUUUAAUAAAACAAUACUGUGAUCUAUCGAAAAUCUGGUUAAUAGCGGUCUUAACUAUGAGGAUCCUAAGGUAGCAAAAUCAAUUGGCCAUUAAAUGUGGUCCGGUAUCAAUAAUGUAACGAUGGUCUCACUGUCUCUACAACUUGCUCAGUGAAAUUGAAUUACGCGUGCAGAUGCGCGUUGCCUCCAGGGGGACGGGAAGACCC
rnacentral:rRNA from 1 species